GAUGAACGCUAGCGGCAGGCUUAACACAUGCAAGUCGAGGGGCAGCAUAAACAUUGCUUGCAAUGUUUGAUGGCGACCGGCGCACGGGUGCGUAACGCGUAUGUAACCUACCUCAAACAGGGGCAUAACACUGAGAAAUUGGUACUAAUUCCCCAUAACACUCUGAGAGGCAUCUCUUGGAGUUGAAAGUUCCGGCGGUUUGAGAUGGACAUGCGUUGUAUUAGCUAGUUGGUGAGGUAACGGCUCACCAAGGCGACGAUACAUAGGGGGACUGAGAGGUUAACCCCCACAUUGGUACUGAGACACGGACCAAACUCCUACGGGAGGCAGCAGUGAGGAGUAUUGGUCAAUGGAACGC
rnacentral:rRNA from 1 species